UACGUACCGUCCAAACGUUAUUCGGAAUUACUGGGCUUAAAGGGCGCGUAGGCGGCCUUCUAAGUCGAACGUGAAGUCCCCGGGCUCAACCCGGGAACUGCGUCCGAGACUGAAAGGCUUGAAUCCGGGAGAGGGAUGUGGAAUUCCAGGUGUAGCGGUGAAAUGCGUAGAUAUCUGGAGGAACAUCGGUGGCGAAGGCGGCAUCCUGGACCGGUAUUGACGCUGAGGCGCGAAAGCCAGGGGAGCAAACGGG
rnacentral:rRNA from 1 species